AGUUGAUCAUGGCUCAGGACGAACGCUGGCGGCGUGCUUAACACAUGCAAGUCGAACGGUAAGGCCCUUCGGGGUACACGAGUGGCGAACGGGUGAGUAACACGUGGGUGAUCUGCCCUGCACUUCGGGAUAAGCUUGGGAAACUGGGUCUAAUACCGGAUAGGACCACGGUCUGCAUGGAUUGUGGUGGAAAGCUUUUGCGGUGUGGGAUGGGCCCGCGGCCUAUCAGCUUGUUGGUGGGGUGAUGGCCUACCAAGGCGACGACGGGUAGCCGGCCUGAGAGGGUGUCCGGCCACACUGGGACUGAGAUACGGCCCAGACUCCUACGGGAGGCAGCAGUGGGGAAUAUUGCACAAUGGGCGCAAGCUUGAUGCAGCGACGCCGCGUGGGGAUGACGGCCUUCGGGUUGUAAACCUCUUUCAGUAGGGACGAAGCGUAAGUGACGGUACCUAUAGAAGAAGCACCGGCCAACUACGUG
rnacentral:rRNA from 1 species